UCCUACGGGAGGCAGCAGCAAGGAAUAUUGGGCAAUGGGCGAAAGCCUGACCCAGCGACACCGCGUGGAGGAAGAAGGCCUUCGGGUUGUAAACUCCUUUUCCCGGGGAAGAAUAAUGACGGUACCCGGGGAAUAAGCCUCGGCUAACUACGUGCCAGCAGCCGCGGUAACACGUAGGAGGCGAGCGUUAUCCGGAUUUACUGGGCGUAAAGAGGGCGUAGGCGGCCUUUCAAGUCGGAUGUGAAAUCUCCCGGCUUAACUGGGAGGGUGCAUUCGAUACUGAUGGGCUAGAGUGCAGCAGAGGGAAGCGGAAUUCCCGGUGUAGUGGUGAAAUGCGUAGAUAUCGGGAAGAACACUAGUGGCGAAGGAGGCUUCCUGGGCUGUUACUGACGCUGAGGCCCGAAGGCGUGGGGAGCAAACAGGAUUAGAUACCCUAGUAGUCCAAGCCG
rnacentral:rRNA from 1 species